rnacentral:rRNA from 1 species
AACGAACGCUGGCGGCAUGCCUAACACAUGCAAGUCGAACGAUGCUUUCGGGCGUAGUGGCGCACGGGUGCGUAACGCGUGGGAAUCUGCCCUGGGGUUCGGGAUAACAGCGGGAAACUGCUGCUAAUACCGGAUGAUAUCGCGAGAUCAAAGAUUUAACGCCCUGGGAUGAGCCCGCGUCGGAUUAGGUAGUUGGUGGGGUAAGAGCCUACCAAGCCGACGAUCCGUAGCUGGUCUGAGAGGAUGAUCAGCCACACUGGGACUGAGACACGGCCCAGACUCCUACGGGAGGCAGCAGUGGGGAAUAUUGGACAAUGGGCGCAAGCCUGAUCCAGCAAUGCCGCGUGAGUGAUGAAGGCCUUAGGGUUGUAAAGCUCUUUUACCCGGGAUGAUAAUGACAGUACCGGGAGAAUAAGCCCCGGCUAACUCCGUG